rnacentral:rRNA from 1 species
GACGAACGCUGGCGGCGUGCUUAACACAUGCAAGUCGAACGGAAAGGCCCUGCUUUUGUGGGGUGCUCGAUUGGCGAACGGGUGUGUGAAACGUGAGUAACCUGCCCUUGACUGUGGGAUAACUUCAGGAAACAGGGGCGCAUACCGGGUAGGAGCUCCUGCUGCAUGGUGGGGGAUGGAAAGUGUCGGCGGUGGGGGAUGUACUCGCGGGUUAUCCGCUUGUUGGUGGGGUAGUGGUUUACCAAGGGUGAGACGGGUAGCCGGCCUGAGAGGGUGACCGGCGACAUGGGUCCUGAGAGAGGGCGCAGACUGCAACGGGAGGCAGCAGGGGGGAACCUUGCGCAACGGGCGGGAGUCAGAGGUAGCAACCCUGCGUGCGUGAUGACGGCUUUCGGGUGAUAAACCGCUUUGGAAGGAGCCGAGGCGUGCGUGACGGUAAUGGGUAAAGAAGCAACGGCUAACUACGUG